AAAAAAAACAAGAGUCGUCCUCUAAUCUCAGGUACAUAAGUGAAAUUAAACUACAAAAACUAGGUGAAUGUGCCCCUAUGAGAGCCGGGCGACGUCUUUACGUAAAAUUGUGUUAAGGCGUUUUGAUCUGUAUUAUGGCUAAUAUUUUCGUUGAGAAUGGCAAUUGGCGACAAUUUCUCACUGAAACUUUUUAGGUGAUGCAUCGCAUAUUCGCAGAGUGGUUGGAUAUUUGCAGCAUCAUAUAUAGAAGCGUUGGAAUAUCUUUUCGUUGGAUUCUGGUAGUUUUUGUUGACGCACUUUCUCAGGACUUUGCGUUCAAAGAUUUCCAUCUCCAUAGCAACUACUGGUGAGAUGGAGAACCAAGUUGGGAAUCCAUAAAGCAGCACAGACCUGAUGGCCACUUUAUAUAAAAGCAGUUUGGUAUUUUGUGGAUAUGCUCAAAUAUUUUGCCGACAUUUGAAAGCAAGGAGAUAGGCCGAUAUUCCGCCACCGUUUUGCUGCUUGGCUUCUUCUUCAUGGGGAUUAUAUUGGCCAUUUUCCACCCCAAUGGAAAGUAACCCAAGUUUAUGCAGUUAUUAAAAAUGCAUUCGAGGAACUGCAGAGACGAUAAAGAUUACUCCUUUAAUCUUAUCGACACUAGCAAAAUGGAGGGUAUCAGGAUUUUGGAUUGCCGGGAAGCUGUCGCUGAAUGUAUAUAUUUGGCGAGGUGUUGGAGAACGGAAGUCAGCCACCCUUGAGUCAAAAUCUAUGACUGGAGUUUCUGGAGUUGUCUGGCUAAAAGUUGCCUCAUACGACACUAGGAAUUUUUCACCAAUCUCCGGUCGGUUGAAAAUUAAAGUGUUGUCGUGCGAAAUACUAUGACAAAGGGAAGACUUCGACCUUCCAACUAUGUUGUAGAUUUCUUUAAAAGCCGUGGGUCCUGGCUUGAUGUUCUUUACUUUUUUAUUGAAAUGGUGUGUAUGGUCAAUGUUUACCAGUUCUUUUAUUAUUGUUUUCAGAAGCUGUAUUUGUUUCGAAAGAAUAAUAUACUCCUGACAUUGUCUAUGGCCGGUUCUGUGAAAGAUCUUUUUGAGAUCUUUCUGCCAAUUGUGCUUUAUUUUAAAGAAAUUUUUAACUUUCUCUGAUAGUGGAAAAUGAUCUUGUCUUAGAGGAAUUCUUCGCGAAUGGGCAUCAUGAACAGAAAUGACAACGUUGUUGAAUUCUGCAAUGAAGUCAUCAAUUUCAUUAGUCUCCAGAUUUCUGUUUACAGGUGGCAUAACAUUUAAUGUUGAGACGUCUAUAUCAUUGCGAAAAUUGUGCCAGUUGGUGUCUUUAUAAGAAGUGUACAUUCGCGGCGAUUUCGUAAGUAUUUCCGAUGAGAUUAGACUCAAUUCCAUCUUGAGUGGGAAAUGAUCCGAAAAAGUGGAGAGAGUUGAGACCUUGUAAUUCAAGUCUAAUGGAUUGUUGAGAUUCGGGCUGACAAGGAAAUGGUCCAGAAAUGAUGGGCCAUUCGAAUAUGAGGGAGAGGAGUCACAGAGGCGAACCACAUCCAAUGCAUGGUCUAACAGCCAGGCAUGAAGGACUUUGACAUUAGAGUUCUCAGUACUGUCUGUGUGUUGUAAGAAAGCGAGUCGAUUUGUAUAAAGGCAGAGUGCAAUCCAAGAUCUGAAACCACAAUCCUAUUAUACUCUAUAUUGUUCUUAACUAAAAUGGCUACACCCAAUGGCGAGCCAUCAUAAAUAAAGUUGUAUUCAUUAAUUUUCACAUUCCUGAUUCUGCGCAAAUGGCAUUCUUGGGCUAGACCAAUAUCAAUUUUGUUGUUCAUAAGAAUGUUACGAAGUUCAAUUUGACGGCUUCGGUCUACAAGUGACCUUACAUUGAAAGUGAGCAGAUUUAAUGAUCUAUGGAUCAUUAGAUUGAACUUUUUUGAAAAGACGCAAAAACUCAGUUUUUGCCUCAGCCUUUGGGAUAGUUUGAUAAUCCAUUAGGAAUAUACUGAUUUCCUGUUCGAUUGAUAAUUCCUCAGGUUCCAAGAAGAAAUGGGCAAGACUAAGGAAUUGAUCAAUGAUAGACGAUUUUUUCGGUUGGGUAGUUGUUUGGAAAAGACUUGCGAAGGGUUUUUCAAGACAACUAGAUGGAAUAUUUAUUGCUUUACUCACGUUGUUUUUUGCAAUGGAGUUCGUUUGUAUCGCCUUAUUUAUCCUCUCUCGACGAGCAGCCAUAUACUUCUUAUAGAUGGGGCAUCCUUUCCAGUUUGCUAGAUGACCCGGUUGUUUGCAAUUUGCGCAGAAAGGUUCUGAGGUAUCUGUCCUUACUCGGGCACAUUCCCCAGGUUCAUGUUGCUUGUCACACUUGACGCAAGUAUACAUCGCAUUGCAAUUACGCGAUAUAUGGCCCCAUUUUUGGCAACGAUGACAUUUUAGCUCUCCUUUUCUUUUCGGUUUUUCCCAUGUAACAAUUUGGUUAAGAAUUCCACGUAUGUUAGAUACGUCGCCAAUUUUCUUACCAGGUUUUAAGGAAAUUAAAAACAAGCCAGUGUCUACAUUGUUUUUUAUUGAAGCAGGAGUUUCGAAUUUUGAAACAGUAGCAACAGUUUCAGGAACUACAGCCUCCAGUUCGGCAAGGAUUUGGUCAGUCUCAGUUUCGGAAUGUAGACCACGUAUGACUAUUGACUCUUGUCUCCGUUUCUUCGAAGUAAAGGAGUGAGACUGGAUGUUUUUAGCACGAAGAAUAGCCAUCAUGGAAGUAUGUGUAGCUACGUCAGUGAAGUAUAGUUUGCUUUUAUUUCUGUUAACGUUUUUUACCUUAAAAGAGCUAUCAGGGAUCUUGGAGCGCAGAUCAUCCACUAACUCUUUUACGUUGACGUCAUAUAGGAAAAUAGGAGGGCACCAAGUUUUCCUUUUAGGUUCAGCUGCAAUCUUAGAAUCAGUAGUUUGCUUGGUUUGGCUUGUACUUGCCUGGUUGACGGAUUUUAUUUCUAGGUCACUCAAAACACCUAGUACUGCGAAUUUGUUUUGAUCAUUCGGUAGAUUGUUCAAAAGAUUUUUAUUAAGUUGCGAUAAGUCGACAUUUUGCGGCAAAUUAGGGUUUUCAAGCCUUUGUCUUUUGCGCUCAUUUUGCGGGCUUGUAGAUUUAUUGUUGUUUUGAAUUGGUUUCGCCGGCUUAAGCACCUUUGAAGUUGAGGCCACUUCUUCCACGACAUCACAAUCCAUGUGGGGGGGCAGGGAUCCUGGCAUCGCGUUGCAGUUAUGCAAUAGGAUGCCUGGAGAGAUAGUAUUGAUAAAUUAGCAGUAAAAAUUGUAAAAAUAUCACGCAGUAGAAAAAAGAAUGUCUGAUCAGCACAAAGUCCAGGGUUGUUUUUUUCAUCGUCUCGGGAACACGAUGGCGCCUAUAACUCGCCUUGUUCUAUCGAGCAUCAUAGGUACUUUACGGACCAAUUCUCCCAUCCGUUAUCGAGCGAGUUUAUGUUCGAGUUAAUUACAUUCCGUAAAUAAGAACUGGAUUAUCUCUUGGAGCAAAUCUAGAUUUGCGACGAGAUUUCGGAAAUCUCGUGUUUUGCAACGAGGUUCCCGAUACAUUUUCAGUUUGAGCAUUUAAUGAGAUUUGCAACAAAUCCCUUUCUAAAUUCAAAUGCAACACUGCGUUUUAUUGAAUACCAGUUAUUAUUUGUAGUUUUGGACAGCACUUUUUUCUCAACAUCUGACAAUUUGUUAUUAAUAAAUUUGCGUUUACGUCCACUCCACUCAAAUAACCUUUGAGUGGAGUGGACGUAUUUUAAUUUCGCUCCACAAGAAUUUUCUGUAAAGGCUGGUGCUAUAUUCGCUUUUAACAACA